rnacentral:lncRNA from 1 species
UUCAUUCUACCACCUACUUUGGCCGCGACCACCGCAGAAAAACCCACCAUCUCACUUUCUCUUGAUCCAGAAAACAAAAAACAUGUAACUCACCAAAACAUGUGUAGGGUAAAAUCAUUUCUGUAGUUUUUUAGUUGAUUUGGUUAAUAGAUGAGUAUUGCGUUUUUGAUGGGUUUACUCCAAAGAAUUAAUGGUUUUAUUUGGAGGGAUGUGGUUUUGAUUAACAGUAUGUUGUUUUUGUAGGUUGAAGAGCAGAUGUUACUGUUAUCAUCAUAAUAUUACUUAUAACAUAUUUUUAUAUUGGACUGGUAUGGAUCUUGCUAUGUUGGGGAAAGGAGAGCUUAAAGACAGGGUGUUGAUUCACGUUUCUUGGGGUAUUCUAUCUAUUUUAUGUUUUCUGAGUCAGUUGUAUGGUUUUACCCAUAUUCCAUUUUCUGUCACAUAUUUGGUUGUUGGGGUAUAUGUGAUGGUGAAAGAAGGAUCAUUAGGUUUAUUUAUUGCUAUUACAGGGAGAUUAUAUACACGUUUUGUAUCUAUUGUGGCUUUAUGAUGAGUUAGGACGAUUUUGCCCCUGUUAUUCAUGUGGUUAAUUUUUGUCCCAAAAAUGUGUAUUGGUGUUACUGCAAGGAUAAGUAAAAUGCCAAGAGUAGUGUUACUUACUAUUAUAAGGUGUAUUUACAAUCUUAAUGGUAGGUGG